rfam:Cucumis sativus cultivar 9930 chromosome 1, whole genome shotgun sequence.
UGAGAAAUGACAGUGCAAUUCUCCUCUGGCAACAACAUGAAUGAAACAACAGUUACUUUUUUUUGAAAAAAAAAAUGCAUUUGUAAAUGUGUUGUUUAUGUUUCUUUGCCAAAGGAGAAUUGCCCUGCCAUUUACUC